rnacentral:rRNA from 1 species
ACGGAAGGCAGCAGUGAGGAAUAUUGGUCAAUGGGCGGAAGCCUGAACCAGCCAAGUCGCGUGAAGGAUGAAGGUAUUAUGUAUUGUAAACUUCUUUAGCAGCAGAGUAAUAAGGAGGUCGUGACCUCCGAUGCAAGUAUGCUGAAAAUAAGGAUCGGCUAACUCCGUGCCAGCAGCCGCGGUAAUACGGAGGAUCCGAGCGUUAUCCGGAUUUAUUGGGUUUAAAGGGUGCGCAGGCGGCCCUGUAAGUCAGCGGUUAAAUAGUGAGGCUCAACCUCAUCCCGCCGUUGAUACUGGCAUGCUUGAUUGCGGUCGAGGUUGGCGGAAUUCGCCGUGUAGCGGUGAAAUGCAUAGAUAUGGCGAAGAACUCCGAUUGCGUAGGCAGCUGACCAGGCCGUAAAUGACGCUCAUGCACGAAAGUGCGGGGAUCGAACAGGAUUAGAUACCCUGGUA